rnacentral:rRNA from 1 species
GAUGAACGCUGGCGGCGUGCCUAAUACAUGCAAGUCGAGCGAACAGACGAGGAGCUUGCUCCUCUGACGUUAGCGGCGGACGGGUGAGUAACACGUGGAUAACCUACCUAUAAGACUGGGAUAACUUCGGGAAACCGGAGCUAAUACCGGAUAAUAUAUUGAACCGCAUGGUUCAAUAGUGAAAGACGGUUUUGCUGUCACUUAUAGAUGGAUCCGCGCCGCAUUAGCUAGUUGGUAAGGUAACGGCUUACCAAGGCAACGAUGCGUAGCCGACCUGAGAGGGUGAUCGGCCACACUGGAACUGAGACACGGUCCAGACUCCUACGGGAGGCAGCAGUAGGGAAUCUUCCGCAAUGGGCGAAAGCCUGACGGAGCACCGCCGCGUGAGAGAUGAAGGUCUUCGGAUCGUAAAACUCUGUUAUUAGGGAAGAACAAAUGUGUAAGUAACUAUGCACGUCUUGACGGUACCUAAUCAGAAAGCCACGGCUAACUACGUG